rnacentral:rRNA from 1 species
UACGUAGGGGGCAAGCGUUGUCCGGAUUUAUUGGGCGUAAAGAGCGUGUAGGCGGCUUCACAGGUCUGCUGUGAAAACUCGAGGCUCAACCUCGAGCUGUCGGUGGAAACCGUGGGGCUAGAGUCCGGAAGAGGAGAGUGGAAUUCCCGGUGUAGCGGUGAAAUGCGCAGAUAUCGGGAAGAACACCGAUGGCGAAGGCAGUGUUCUGGGCCAGUACUGACGCUGAGGAGCGAAAGCGUGGGGAGCAACAGGG